rnacentral:misc_RNA from 1 species
GAAAUGCGAUAAGUAAUGUGAAUUGCAGAAUUCCGUGAAUCAUCGAAUCUUUGAACGCACAUUGCGCCCUCUGGUAUUCCGGGGGGCAUGCCUGUCCGAGCGUCAUUGCACACCCUCAAGCGCGGCUUGUGUGUUGGGCUUCCGUCCCUGGCAACGGGGACGGGCCCAAAAGGCAGUGGCGGCACCAUGUCUGGUCCUCGAGCGUAUGGGGCUUUGUCACCCGCUCCCGUAGGUCCAGCUGGCAGCUAGCCUCGCAACCAAUCUUUUUAACCAGGUUGACCUCGGAUCAGGUAGGGAUACCCGCUGAACUUAAGC